rnacentral:tRNA from 1 species
GCGUUGGUAGUUUAGCGGUAGAAUUCUCGCCUGCCACGCGGGAGGCACAAGUUCGAUUACCGGUCAAUGCA